CUUUCGUUGAACUGCCGCUAUUAAAAUACGGUUGGAAUAUGUUGAUAGUCAGAUUGAGAAGGACUAUUUAAUACAGAAAGCGUAAGCAUAUUUAGUCAUACAGAUUUAUGAUUGUUAGAUUUAAGAAGUGUUUUAUGUUUCACGAUGAGAUGUAAUUAAGAUAAUUAUGACGCCUGGAAGAGCUAUUUCAUUUUUUUUUUGUCACGCGUCGUCGUUGUAUCUGUCACCUCAAAAUUAACUAUUAGUACAGACAAACUGAUAUAUCUAAGAAAGUUUUAAGGCAUGACAGGAACUAGAUAUAUAAACGUUAUAUGUAGUCUACGUUUCAGAAAAUUACUAGUAAAACUUACCUGGAUUUUGAUGUGCAGUCUUUUCCAAUCUACAAAAUAUAGCAAAAUAAACAAACACCCGAGUUUCAUUUGAUACGGUCCACUCAUUUACAUAGUUGAAAUCACCUAUUGUUUGCAGAUGUCUAUUGUCCAUCUAUUGUCCGUUAAAUCAAUACUACUCACAACAUGUACUAUAUGAGGGGAACUUCUCAAACCUCUUUACCAACUUAGUUUAUUUUAGCCCAUUCUACAGGAAAGGAAAAAAAUGAAAAGCAAAUACUAGUAAAGUUUAUAAUUUUCUAAAUCAUAAAAUGUAUUUAAAAUGUAAUUAUCUAGUUCCUGCCAUCCUUUAAAACUUUUGCAGGUACUAUGGGGCGCCGAAUGGGAAUCUUGGGGUUGUGUACUCGAAAUUCAAUUUUGUACGGACAAAAGUGAGUUUUUGUUCAACAAAAAUGAGUUCAGUUUAACAAAAUUUGUAGCAUUCUACAAAUUUAAAUUUUGUCAUACAAAAUUAUCUUUCAGUGGACAAAAGUUAGUUUUGUCAUGACAAAAUUCAUUUUUGUAACACAGACUUUACUUUUGUUACCUAAUUUGAAAAUUGGGCGACAAAGUCAAUUUUGUAUGCAAAUUAGUUUAGUUUGGAUUCUGUGAACUAAUUUGCAUACAAAACUGAGAUUUAUUCUUGUGUAGACAAAAUUGAGUUUUGUUAAACAGAAGUAAAAAUUGAAUACAAAAGUCAAUUUUGUGUCACAAAAGUCAAUUUUGUGUCACAAAAUUCAUUUUUAUCACAAAAGUCAAUUUUGUGUCACUAGAGUCAAUUGUGUAUGCAGUUUAUAUUUGCAUACCUAUAAAUGAAUUUUUUCUUUACAAAAAUGAAUUUUGUCAUCACAAAAUUGAAGUUCUCAUAAAACAAGUCUGUAUCACAUAGUUUUGUAUUAAAAGACACAAAAGAUUUUGUUAUGACAGAAUUUAAAUUUUUACAAAACCACAAGAGGCCCAUUCGGCGCCCCCUACACGGUAGGUGCAUAGUUUUGUCUGUACUCUAAGUAAAAUUUGCGAUGUAAAUACGGGCAUAUUAGCCAAAAGGUUAUGAUAAACCUUAAGGUUCAUCAUAAGGAAUUGAAAAAUAUGGCCGUGUUUACACCUCCAAAAUUACUAUGAGUACAGACAAACUGGUACAUCCAGGAAAGUUUUAAGGCAUGGCAGGAACUAGAUAUAUAAAAGUUAUAUGAAGUCUACGUUUCAGAAAAUUAAAAACUUACCUGGAUUUUGAUGUUUAUUUUUUUCCAGUCUGCAGAAGAUAGCAAAAUAAACAAACACCCGAGUUUCAUUUGAUACGGUCCACUCAGUUACACAGUUUAAACCUGUUAAAUCACCUAUUGUUUACAGGUGUUUAUUGUCCAUUUAAAUCAAUACUACUCACAACAUUGAUUAUAUGAGGGGAGCUUCUCAAUCGUUUUCACUACUUAGUUAUUUUUUGCACCUUCUGCAGGAACGAAAAAAAAUGGAUAGCAAAAUCUAGAAAAGUUUAUAAUUUUCUGAAACACAAAAUGCAUUUAAAAUUUAUAUAUCUAGUUCCUGCCAUCCCUUAAAACUGUUGCAGGUGUAUAGGUUAGUCUGUACUCAGAGUAAAAUUUGGGGUGUAAAUACGGCCAUUUUAGCCAAAAGGUUAUGAUGAACCUUAACAUUGUAAAAAGAUCUUUGAAUAAUACUGCUGUUAGUUAUCAAUACAUUGAAACAUAACUAAAUAGUAUUGAUGUGAAGGUAUGAUGAUUUACGGUUCUACAUUCUGUCAAUAUUUGGGCACUGCAGAAAAUCCUGUUUUUCUCUGAUUGUGUAUGACGUUAACAAAAUAGAUGUACUAUAAAUAUGAUAGAUCUAGAUGCAGUUUUGGAUACAUGACUGUUUCAGUUGUUACUAGCAUUUAGUAACUGCGAUUACUCUCGAAUAGGUACUGUAUGACUCUUAAAGUUUUAGUUAGUUACUGUAGUUUGUGUAUGCUUUGUUCCGAUCUGAUGAGUAGAACCUUUUCAGCUUACUUUUAUAGUUAGUUCUUAUGGUGAACUGUUACGCAACUGGCACAAAGUUAGGGUGAUGGUUUGGCGCUCGACAAUAUGUGUAACCCUGCAACAUUCUGUUUGUACAUGUAGUUGUCACAAGUCCAUAGCAUGUAUUAAGCUUGUGCUGCAUUAUCAUAGUAGAUUUUCGUUUAUUCUAUUAUAUCGUUUGUUUUUGUAUUGUGCUGUUGCACCACUGUACUAUGUUGGGGAGACUUGUAGUGCCCUCAGGUAGUGCCCUUAUACAUGAUUAAUACCACCAGAUUCUGUAUAUAUAUAUAUCUUGAAGCAAUUUCGCGAUUUGGUCAUACAAAGGAAACCAGGUAAGCAUAUUGACUUCCACAUAACGGUGGCGUCUAGACAACUUGUCAAGCUCUAAAAAUAUAAAUCGCAUUAACCAGUAUGCCAGGGACCUUUUUUUCUGAUAAUAUUUGGAAAAAUCAAUGCACGAUGAUUUCCGGUUAUGUAUAUAUCAUAAGUAAAAAUAAUUUUAAAAAACUAAAUUAUAGUAAUCCUUUUUUUAAUAGUUUUGUAUAAAUUAGUGAAUUAAUUACAUUAUUUGCAUUACAUUUUAUUCACAUGCCUAACAAUUAUUUUGUAGGUAGCUAAAAUAUAAUGGACACUGCAUGUGAAAAGCCAGAUGUGCAAAAUGAAAAUGUAAACAGCAAUGAACAUUUAUCUAUGCAGAGCACAGAAAUGACUACAAACUGUCUUACAACUGCGAACACCAGCGAUGAUGAAAAUGACAUUGAAUUGAAAGGCUUGUUUCCUGAAAUUGAAGAGGAAGACCGAG
rnacentral:lncRNA from 1 species